CAGCCCCUGCCCUUACUCCUGCACCCCAGGGCCGCCAUGUCCCGUGCUGAGGAGCUGGGAGACUGGUGGGGAAGGGGUCCCCGACCCCUGUCCCCAGCGAGCAGAGCAGGGAUGCCGCGGGGAUACGGGUGUGCUCACCUAAGUAGGGCAGCCUUUGCCACGAGCAAAGCUUGUUUUGCUUUUUGCUCUGCACCUUAAGUCACUGAAGGCUUGUGUGUUGGUAAGAGGCAAAGCCACGCUUCUGGGAUGAGGGACCACGCUGCCCUGCCCAAGUAAUAAGCUGGAAAACAGCACAAGCACAGCUAUUUAGUCUGCUGUGUUUGCAAGUGCCUGGGAUACAAAUGAGGCACAGCAGACUGUACUAAUGAGAUUGCCAGAAGCCAGUCUGGGGACAUUUACUCCCAGACUGGUCACCCUGCCUGCCCCCAGCUGUGAUCAAUUCCCCAGUAACCUUCACCAGAUUAAUCUGGAACAUACCUGACAGGAAUCCAAACACCUCAGUCAGUUGAGGCAAAGAAAAUAUUCCUAUUUCCUCCCCAGCCUAGCAUUCAUUUUCACUAUGACAAAUGGGUAUCCAGGUCUCUUCACACAUGGUACAAUGGAUUUGUGCCAGAAUCUUUCCCAGGUACAAAAGUUCUCUGGGUUUCAUAGCUGGAAGUUAGAUUUUUAUCAAGUUAGGUGUGAUUUUAUAGCAAGGCGUGUAGUUUAAGUGAGUGGGUGCAAAUCCUCCAUUUGCUUUAAGGUUAAGUGUCAUUCACUGUGCAUUGUUUGCUUGCUCUUAGAAAGCAACAGUGAGCAGCCCAAGCUGGAUCCAGCUUCCAGUCUCUGAUUACGCUCAGGUAAAGCAGGGAGUUUCUCUUUGCCUUUUUCCAGCAAUAUCUUUUGCUAUCAGUAACUGCUAGUGGGCUCUUGAGUUCUGAUAAUAGCAAAUAACAGACGUCAUCUUUCAGGUCCUGACAUCUUCCACAGUCAAUUCCCCUGCCACUGCUUGCUCAUCCUCACUGACUGGCUGUGCAGUACCUCAGCUGUGGCUCUCUGGCUCUGCAUAGGCUGUUACCCAGUCACUUGGCGUACCAAUUCACAUUGAGUAUGGGUUUAACAUUCUGUCUUUGAGCAGGAGGAAGAGACACAAACUGUUUCCAUGUAGUCUGUCCUGCCUCUUUUAGAAUAACUGGAAACAACGCACCCUUUUGUUUGGCUUUUUUUUUUUUUCUUCUGCUAUACCUGCAGCACACCUGAUUGAUGUUCUCCUCAAAACCUUCUUGUUUACCUCUGAUGCAUGUAACAUUUUUAGCACAACAUUAAACUUAAGUCAUCCAACUGUUGUAUUCUGUUUGUGGGAGGUCCUCCUUCACUAGUAGAUGAAAGAUGACCCGGUCAGCCCUCAGCAGAAGGGAACAAGACAGCAGGAAAGAUGGGAGACCCCCUUCUGUGCAUGAGAGCAAAGAGAGCCCAGCUCAGACGCUUAGCACUGAGCAUAUACCAGCUACACUCAAGCAUUUUCACCUUGGUGUUUCCCACUACAGCUGUCCCUGGCUAAAUAAUUAGCUAAUUAUUAUGCCUUUCUUAGGCUAGUCUUUUGUCUUUGGCUCUUAAAAUUCUCACCUAAGGAAAUACUCCUUCUCCUAUUGAUUCUGAGCUACUUCUGUGCAUGUACAGAGGUUUAGCCUCUGAUUGCAAAUGGAGCAUGCAAGAGAUUAACAACCCUAUGGAUUUAAUCUAAGGGUUUAUGAAAUGCUUCUCCCACACGUGCAAGCAAAGCAAUCAGCUGCUGGCUGGAGCGUUCAGAGGCACGGGGCUUGGUGUGAGCUGCGCGUCUCCAGGUGUCAUGGAGAUGUUAAGCAGCUGUUGCGUACCUUUGCUGGCAAGCUGAAUGCUUACAGACCUUGAACUGAAUGAGUACCACAUCUUGCUACAGCUGGUCCAGAGCUGUGUGAGCAGCUAUUGAGCCACCAGCAGUCCAGUUACGUCACGGUGAGUGUUGCAGAUGUGUGUUGCAGCAAUGGGGCCCUGUCCCCAGGACCCACUGUUUGCUCCUGUCCCUGUUCUGCCCCCUUGCUUGGGCUGCUGCAGCACCCCGGGCUCACCCUGUGAAUCAGACCAGGUGACUGACACAUCAGGGGGUGACUCAAGUCUUACCUCUCACAUCUACGAUGAGUGUUGAGAAUUACUGAACCCUUCUGGCUGUGGCACCCAGGGUGACAACAUUGGUGCUUCACAUCUUAUUUUCAG